CAUCAUAUACAUUUAUUUAGAACAAUUAUUAAUUAUUUAGGACAAUUAAUAAUUAUAAGAAAAAUAAAACAUCAUAUACAUUUAUUUAAGACCAUUAAUAAUUAAUAAUUAUUUAGGACAAUUAUUAAUUAAUAAUACAUCAUAUAUAUUUAUUUAGAAUAAUUAAUAAUUAUCUAGGACAAUUAAUAAUUAUAAGAAAAAUAAAACAUCAUAUACAUUUAUUUAGGACAAUUAAUAAUUAAAAAUAUACAUCAUAUACAUCACACAAGAAAAAUAAAAAAUAAGAAAACAAAAAUUGGCCGCUGGUGGGCCGGCCCACCGGCCCCUGCCCCUAACCCUCCCCCUCCCUCUCCCCCUCACCCUCUCCACCGGUCGCAGCAAGCACCGCCGCCGCCGCCUCGGUUGAGGAGCCCCGAGACCCCCCUGAGGCGGCUGCGCGCAGCUCCCGAGCCUUCCCCGCGUGGAGCCACAGCCGCAGGCGCAGCCCUGCCACCG
rnacentral:lncRNA from 1 species